CAAAAUAUAGCUGUUUUACAAAAUUGUUACGAUGUAAAACUUUAGUUAUUCAUUUGAAAGUAAAAUGCUUAUGCUACAUAAAUAUGGGCUGUUUUUGACAAUACAAUGCACAUAUAUCGGGUACCAGCAUCAUUUAGACAUGCUAAAUUACUGAAAUCUUCACAAUUUUAGCAUUUUAGCUAAAUUUCAGACAGUUUCCGUCUUAAAUGAAAGUGGCCGCAUUUGUGUUCAUUCAUAAUAUUUAACUGUUAGUUGUAUUUUAUGAUAAUACAUAACAUAUAUAAAGGUUGUGAAUGUACACGGAUGCGGCCACUUUCAUUUUUGACAAAAACCAUCUGAAAAGUGACAUUUUUGGGCAUAUUUGAUGGAUUUUUCAUAUUUAAGCUAGAAUCGAAGCGUUUUUAAUGAGUAUAUCAGUUAAAAUCUUUCACAUUAACUUAUUGAAUCAUCCGAAAUAGACACUUAAGUGUCUAAAAUCUUUCGUCAGAUGAACUUGAAAAUUGAGGCCAAAAUCGGCCCUUACCGGACCUACUCCUAUAUACUAAGUUGGAACCAAAAAAAGGACCUCACUAUGGAUCAUGAUAUUUUAAUAUAUAGUCUGAUUUUGAAGAGGUUUUUUACUUGGAAUACUUAUAAGAUUCCUGACCUUUUCAGUACUAUUUGUGAUAUAUACCUAAUAUGGUUUUCAAGCUACAAUAGACCAAAGAGACUGGAAGAAGCACUUAAACAUAUAACAUAGAAUAAUUUUUUUCGUUCUGUUUAGAUGAAUUUUUUAAUUCACUUCCUUGUACCCUAAAAUUGCUUUUGUCAACAUUUUGUAAAGAGCUCAUUAAGGUUUCUUUGCUCUAAAAGGGUCAAUAGCUGUGGUUUUUCAGUAAAUUUUCUAUAAAACUUCCUGCUUAUUACUGUCAAUCAGAUGUGUGAUAAGAGUUUUGAAACCUAAAAGUCAAAUAUGGUAUAUUGUAUCUAUUUUUUCAUGCAAAUUCAAUAAAGCUGAUUUUGUAAAAUGUUAAAGAACUAUAGCAACAAAUUUGGAAAUACUUUGUUAAUUUCAAGCAAUAAAUAGACUAAAAAAUCCCACUUAAACAUGGUUCAUUUUCAAUUUUUAUGUAUUGUUUGAAAACUAGCAUUUUCAUGGAUAUGUGUUUUUAAAUUUGUUGUUUUUGGCAAAGUCUGCAUACAUUCCUGUAGAAACUUGUACUUGGUUGAACAAUUAUUUUCAAGGUUCCGUUAUACCUUUGAAAUCAACGAACAUUGGCAUCCAACGAAUUAUAAUGAAUCCACAGUAACCUUUUAUUAUUACUGAUAACAGUGUGUAGCUUAAUACACUCAUUUCACUAAAACUUACUGUGAAGUAAAAUAAAGACUAUAUUACUCAUACUUGAAAUUACCAAACAUUUCUUAAAAAAAGAAUUUGUUUGCAUUAAAGAUUCAAAUCUUUCCUGCAGACUGUCUUGGUUUGAAAUAAAUUAAAUAAAUAUCUGUAGGAGAGUUAAACUUCAUGUAAUAAACUUUUUGAUUUAUAGUAAAACACAUUUUGGUGCAUAUUGUUUUAAACCUUGAGCAAUUAUUUAUUCUUUCACCCCCAUAAUCAGCUAGCUAAUCAAAAUAGGAGUUCCAGAAAAAAAUUCUGUUGUGUUUUAUUUAUUUAUAUUAUAUCAGUUUUAAUACAGCAAUAAAACCUGUCCAAAUGCUGUCUGCAUACAUGCAUUUUCUUAUGGAGUUUCUAUUGUUUUUUCCUGAAUAGUUUUAUUUUGAUACUUUCAUUAGUAUUGGCAGGAGUGCCUAAUUUCUUAUUGUAACAAGGAAGUACUUUUAAGUUAUUUCUGUACUAUAAUAAUUAUAUUCUAGACAAUCUGAUACGAUGCAUUGUUGUCGUAAACAACAAUUUAAUUUGAAGUAUGUGUAUUUGAAGAUCUUAUCUGUUUUUUGUGAAAUUA
rnacentral:lncRNA from 1 species